CUUCACCAUCUUCUCCGCUGGCGACGGCGAUUACAAUUUCAACAUCGACCUUCAAGAACUUUCUCGUCUUAUCUUGGCCGACGACGAUCUUUUCUUGACUAUUCUUGUUCCCAGUGGCUUCUGAUCCGCCAACCUAAUCUCUUCAACUAGAGAUGGGAAAUUUCGAUCUCUGGCUUCAUUGGACGAUGCUUCCCCAAAACAGGGAAGUGAGCAAAUUUGAUCUCAAAUUGUUCGUGGCAAUUGAUGCAGUAAACUUCAGAGAGAACAGUAGCGCGAUUAUCUGAAUACAAUGGUCCAAUUUUUGCUACUGCAUCGACUUCACAAGUGAAGUUUUAUGGAAGAACAGCUGAUGGUGAGAUUAUUGGGGCGACUCUUCUUACUGCAGAGAGAAGAGAGUGCUUGGCAGGAGGCUUCGAUGACAAAGAUUAUGAAAUCAAGUUUUCAUUUGCUUUGAAACCCAAGGAUUUUUUUGGUCGUUCAAUGAAGUUGACCAAAUUGGUUUGGUUUGGUUCUUUGAGUCAACACGUUGGAACACUACAGUGAUUUGCUUCACAAGAGAAUGGAUCAACAUUCUUGCUUCUUA